UAACACAUUCAACAGUAGGAUCAUUUCUAUAGGAAUCGUCACUCUUUGACUCUUCAAAAGAGCCACUGAAUCCAACUUGGUUGAUGAGCCCCAUAACCUUUGUACCCCAGAGUGAGGAAAUGAAAUCGAAUUUAAAUUAGCUUGGUCCGCAAUCCUUAGCGGUUCGGCCAUCUAUAAUUUUGAAUAAAAUUUUGCUUUGCCGUUGCAAUUGUGAUAACUUYCUUUGGAAUUUGUUGCGAUAUUUAAUGGCGCGAUGAUCUUGACCCAUCCUAUGUGCUUCCAUUUUUGGAAGGAUAGGGAUUCAUGGGUGGGUACAAAUGGCAGUCUGACAAGU
rfam:Saccharomyces cerevisiae Vin13 chromosome XVI, whole genome shotgun sequence.